rnacentral:rRNA from 1 species
UACGUAGGGGGCAAGCGUUGUCCGGAAUCAUUGGGCGUAAAGAGCGCGUAGGCGGUCCGGUAAGUCAGCUGUGAAAGUCAAGGGCUCAACCCUUGAAAGCCGGUUGAUACUGUCGGGCUAGAGUCCGGAAGAGGCGAGUGGAAUUCCCGGUGUAGCGGUGAAAUGCGCAGAUAUCGGGAGGAACACCAGCGGCGAAGGCGGCGCUCUGGGCCGGUACUGACGCUGAGGAGCGAAAGCGUGGGGAGCAAACAGG